rnacentral:rRNA from 1 species
UACGAAGGGGGCUAGCGUUGCUCGGAAUCACUGGGCGUAAAGCGCACGUAGGCGGAUUUGCAAGUCAGGGGUGAAAUCCCGGGGCUCAACCUCGGAACUGCCUUUGAUACUGCAAAUCUCGAGUCCGGAAGAGGUGAGUGGAAUUCCUAGUGUAGAGGUGAAAUUCGUAGAUAUUAGGAAGAACACCAGUGGCGAAGGCGGCUCACUGGUCCGGUACUGACGCUGAGGUGCGAAAGCGUGGGGAGCAAACAGG